CCUCAAAGAGGGGGACAACAGUUGGAAACGACUGCUAAUACCGCAUAAGCCCACGGGUCGGCAUCGACCAGAGGGAAAAGGAGCAAUCCGCUUUGAGAUGGCCUCGCGUCCGAUUAGCUAGUUGGUGAGGUAAUGGCCCACCAAGGCAACGAUCGGUAGCCGGACUGAGAGGUUGAACGGCCACAUUGGGACUGAGACACGGCCCAGACUCCUACGGGAGGCAGCAGUGGGGAAUAUUGCACAAUGGGGGAAACCCUGAUGCAGCGACGCCGCGUGGAGGAAGAAGGUCUUCGGAUUGUAAACUCCUGUUGUUGAGGAAGAUAAUGACGGUACUCAACAAGGAAGUGACGGCUAACUACGUGCCAGCAGCCGCGGUAAAACGUAGGUCACAAGCGUUGUCCGGAAUUACUGGGUGUAAAGGGAGCGCAGGCGGGAAGACAAGUUGGAAGUGAAAUCCAUGGGCUCAACCCAUGAACUGCUUUCAAAACUGUUUUUCUUGAGUAGUGCAGAGGUAGGCGGAAUUCCCGGUGUAGCGGUGGAAUGCGUAGAUAUCGGGAGGAACACCAGUGGCGAAGGCGGCCUACUGGGCACCAACUGACGCUGAGGCUCGAAAGUGUGGGUAGCAAACAGGAUUAGAUACCCUGGUAGUCCACACCGUAAACGAUGAUUACUAGGUGUUGGAGGAUUGACCCCUUCAGUG
rnacentral:rRNA from 1 species